CUCCAGCCGGCGCUGGUGUUUGGUCGCUCCUCUGCGAGAGCUGGAGAAACCCUGGAGCUGAAAUGUAGAAUCGAAACCAAAGUCAAAGCGGGUCCUCAGAUGCACCUGUACCUGUGUAAAGAUGGAGCCCUGCUGCAGAUGGAGCGGCUCAGAAACGCAGUCGAUCACACUUUUAUUCUGAGGAACAUUUCAGACCUGGACUCCGGUAAUUACAGCUGUGUUUUCUCCUUCCACAAACUCCGCCCGAAGAGCCUGAACACCACCGGCCUCAACUCCAUCCACAUCAGCGUCUACGGUCAUUCCUCUGAUGUUCUGCCAGCAGAAAUAUAUGGAAGCUCGGAAGUGAAAGCAGGACAAGAUUUAGAGUUAAAGUGUAAAAUCCCCACUGAAUCCGGAUCCUUCUACAUGUACCUGUGUAAAGACAGUGUCCUGCUGAAGAUGAGAUUACUGGAAGAUAAAAAAGAGGAGACUUUUAUUUUGAGAAAUAUCUCAGAACACGACUACGGGAGCUACAGCUGUGUGUACUCCAAUAAAAAAUACGCUCUGAAGGACUUCACUGGAACAGAACAGAGUGCAAUGAAGUUUCAUUUCUAUGGUAAGAGAUUAUAUUACUGCAUAUAAUAUUCAUUUUUAUUUUUAUUGUA
rnacentral:lncRNA from 1 species